rnacentral:tRNA from 1 species
GCCUGGGUGGCUUGGUCGGUUAAGCGUCCGACUUCGGCUCAGGUCAUGAUCUCAUGGUCCGUGGGUUCAAGCCCCGCGUCGGGCU